AUAAAGAAGAAUUAACAGCGUGCGCAUCGAUUCUCUUCAGCGAGGUCAGGUAUCCCACCAUAUACAGCAUUUGAUACGUUUUUCAUAGUUCUCAGCAGUCAACAUGAAAUCCAUAAGCCCGGUGCGGUCAAUGAGAAACAACAUGUCGAAUUCGUCGGAACACAUCCUCGGGAUAUCUCGGAGCAAGAGCCCGAUGGAUGAUCCACUGAGCCUGCUGUACAACAUGAACGACUGCUACACCAUGCUGAAGGAACUCGUCCCCAGCCUCCCACAGAACAAGAACGUCAGUAAAAUGGAGAUUCUGCAGCAUGUGAUUGACUAUAUUUUGGACCUUCAAAUUGCACUUGACUCCAGCGCAUCCUUUGUAACCUGCCAAUAUCAGCAACGGCUGGGACAGACGGCGUCCAGGAAUCCUCCGUCCACCGCUGUCACCUCAGAUAUCAGCAUCCUUACCUGCGAGUCAAAUGACCUGCCCAGGGAAACAGACGCAGAUGUGGACAGCAGCACGCUCCUGCGCUGACUCAGUGUUCAAAACAAGACCUCAUGUUCCCUUCACUGGCUGUAGGAAUUUUUCUUCACCCCCCCCCCCCCUAAAAGGAGAUAUGUGGUAUAGUUUUAAAGUCGAUUUUAUUCCACUGGGUUGACACUGGGAACACAGAAAGUGACUGAAAGGACAGUACGGAAACAAGAUAUUUUGACAAGAGGACUUAAUCUUUUCUUCGUGAAAGUGGGAAAAGAAAACAGGAAAGCUGUAUAUCCCCUGUUCUGGCGGACUGUGGAUGCUGUAACAUAUAAGUAGACAGAAAUCAUGCCUGUAUAGUAACAUAUUUGUGGCAGAGAGUAUAUAAUCUUGCAGUUUAUUGUGUUGCGUUUUUGAAAGAUGUUGUAAAUUGCACUUUUAUACAAUAAUAAAUUAAAUUACUAAUAUGAUUACGACAA